GACGAACGCUGGCGGCGUGCUUAACACAUGCAAGUCGAACGGAAAGGCCCUGCUUGCGGGGUACUCGAGUGGCGAACGGGUGAGUAACACGUGGGUGAUCUGCCCUCCACUUCGGGAUAAGCCUGGGAAACUGGGUCUAAUACCGGAUAGGAGCCAUCUUUAGUGUGAUGGUUGGAAAGUUUUUUCGGUGUAGGAUGAGCUCGCGGCCUAUCAGCUUGUUGGUGGGGUAAUGGCCUACCAAGGCGGCGACGGGUAGCCGGCCUGAGAGGGUGGACGGCCACAUUGGGACUGAGAUACGGCCCAGACUCCUACGGGAGGCAGCAGUGGGGAAUAUUGCACAAUGGGCGGAAGCCUGAUGCAGCGACGCCGCGUGGGGGAUGACGGCCUUCGGGUUGUAAACUGCUUUCGCUAGGGACGAAGCUUGUGUGACGGUACCUAGAUAAGAAGCACCGGCUAACUACGUG
rnacentral:rRNA from 1 species